rnacentral:rRNA from 1 species
GAUGAACGCUGGCGGCGUGCCUAAUACAUGCAAGUCGAGCGCCGGCACUUGAUACUUGUACCCAUUGGAUUAGCAGCGGACGGGUGAGUAACGCGUGGGUAAUCUUCCUUUGAGCCGGGGACAACAUUGGGAAACGAAUGCUAAUACCGCAUAAAAACUUUAACCACAAGUUUCAAGUGUGAAAGAUGCAAUUGCAGCACUCAAAAAUGAUCCCGCGGUGUAUUAGUUAGUUGGGUAGGGAAAGGCCCACCCAGGGGAUCAUACAUUGCCGAACUGGGAGGGUGGACCGGCCAAAUGGGAACGGAGACACGGCCCAACCUCUGACGGGAGGCGGCAGUGGGGAACUUUGGCCAAGGAGCGAAAGCCGGACGCAGCAAGACCGCGGGGGGGAGGAAGGUCUUCGGUCGGUAAAGUCCGUUGGUUGGGAAGGAAGAUGGGGAGAGUGAAAAGCUCAUGAAGUGACGGUACCUAACCAGAAAGCGACGGCUAACUACGUG